GAUGAACGCUGGCGGCGUGCCUAAUACAUGCAAGUCGAGCGAACAGACUAGGAGCUUGCUCCUCUGACGUUAGCGGCGGACGGGUGAGUAACACGUGGAUAACCUACCUAUAAGACUGGGAUAACUUCGGGACACCGGAGCUAAUACCGGAUAAUAUAUUUAACCGCAUGGUUCAAUAGUGAAAGACGGUUUUUCUGUCACUUAUAGCUGGAUCCGCGCCGCAUUAGCUAGUUGGUAAGGUAACGGCUUACCAAGGCAACGAUGCGUAGCCGACCUGAGAGGGGGGUAGGCGACAUGGGAACGGAAACGGGGACAAGAGGACUGAGAGAGGGAGCAGAAGGGAAUGGGACGCAGCAGGCGAGAGUAUUGCGGAACGAGGGAGAGUGAGAGAUAGAGGUGUUGGGAGAGGGAUAACCGGUUUUGGGGGAAGAACAAAUGUGUGAAGAGAAGAACACAAAGUGACGGUACCUGAACAGGAAGCAACGGCUAACUACGUG
rnacentral:rRNA from 1 species